rnacentral:lncRNA from 1 species
GGCUUGCCUACCUACACCUGCGGGCAUGAAACGCAGGCCCCGGGGGAUCGUGCAUCAGUACGAAUAAUGUAGUGAGUAUGUAAGGCAUGAAAAUCAGUACAUAAAAGACAUAGAUGAAACAUGAAAUAAAGAGAUUCAUCUGCAAAUAUAAAUAACUUUGUAAAUUCUGAAACAUUUAUAAUGUCUUGCACAUGCAUAUUAAUAUCGUGUCAUGCAUAGGUAUAGGUGUACAUAACAUCAUCAAGCCUCUUAGGACAUCCCAUCAUAUCAUCUCAUCCACUGUGGGCAACAUCAUCAACAUAUACCAACUGAUCAGGUGGUGGUGCGUAUAUAACGUCCUAACCUUUUCCCAUAUCCCAUAUAUAUAUAUAUAUAUAUAUACAUAUAAAUACGCGUAUAUAAUGCCAUCUGGUCAUGGGUCAAUGCACAUGUAUAAAUGAAUGAAAUGCAUGAAAAUAUGUUAAUAAGAUUUUCUCGGAAUGCCAUAAAACUCAAUAUGCCUUUCGGAUAAACCUUAUCAAAUAUGUAUUUUUCUAAGAUCCAUGAACAUACGAUAGAAUAAUAAGACUUAUGGGAGAAUAAGAAUAUACACAUCUCUAGCAUUUCUACGAAUAGAGAAAUUUAUGGAAGUUGUGCAUUUGCUCGUUUCGUUUGUGUGGUAUAGGUCAUGCCAAAAAGAAAGAAGGGAUGGACUUAACAUACCUGGAGUAGGGAAAUAUCUGUAUGAUGUUCUUGGAAAAGGUUGCACCGUACUCCUUUAGAGGCACAAAAUUUUACGUUGCUAACAAUUCUCGUUGGAUUUCCUUUAGUUGCAAUAAUUCACGUUUUUGUUGAAAAUCAUAAGAAUGGCUAACGUUUUGUAUUUCUUCUUAACUAUCAACUUAUGUCUAAUGUUUGUAAUUGUAAGAAUGGCAGAUUAAAGGAAUGGCUAAUUGUCUUGAUUGUUUACAAAGCAUAAAGAAAGUGAGGUGUAUUUGUAUUCAAGACAUGGGAAAAGAAAUUUUGUUGAAAGCUUUUGUGAAAUGGCUACCGUUAGUUUUGCCUCCUAAAGUCUUAGGAAUGAAUAUGUAAUGUUUUACAUUAGUUUUCCACCUAAGAUCAUAUGACUACGUCAUAUGUAUUAGUGGUGGCUUACUGCCACGUGGGGGUGGGGUGGGAAAAAUUAAUCUUUAUCCACAUAUUAGAUAAUUAGGUAAUUUUCCGUUACUCGGUAAUUAACCAAUUACCCGCAUAAUUAAGAAUUGUCUCACAUUACUUAAAAUUAUACUCAUUUUUAAUACAUAUUAUAGAUCAUACUAUUGUGGUUAUGUGGCACCUUGUAUGGUACUAGUUCAUAAAUAUCGAGUAUUAUGGCUCGGACCGUAUUUUAUCCCAAAUCGACAACCUUCAACGAAACUUAUUUUCCUUGAUUCGUAUACCCUUUAUCCUUCACGGCACUUACUUAUCGCUUGUUAUAAAUAGCAUAAAUAUGUUAACCUUAAGAUAAUCUCAUCCCCGAGUCUACGUCGAUUAACUGAAGAUGAAACUUUAACGUACGAAAACACGGGACGUAACACCAAGUUAGUAAGAUCCUUUGCCGACAACUCCGAGGACUCGGUACAGCCCUUCCCAAUUCGGGACUAGUUUCCCUUCAUUCGGGUCUCGAUUAUUGAGGGUGACUUUUCGUAGAACUAAGUCCCCGACUCCAAAGUGUCGAAGGUUUGUCCCUAUCUCUCUAUUCUUUGCUUUUGUGCGGCCAUCCGAACAAGUGCUACCUCUCAUUUUUUAUCUAAUAGCUUGAGGCUAAUAUUCAUAGCCUUGUGAUUUGACUCCUCCGAUGCAUGUCGAAACCUGGUGCUGGAUUCUCCGACCUCAACAGGGAUAAGGACCUCAGAACCAUAAACUAAAGAGAACGGAGUAGCCCCUGUGCUAGACUUUGAAGUUGUUCGAUAUGCCCAAAGGACCUCAGGUAGAACUUCUCUCUAUUUUCCCUUUGCAUCGUCCAACCUUUUCUUCCAGUUUUGAAUGAUAGUUUCUUUUGUUGAUUCGGCCUGUCCAUUUCCGGUUGGGUGGCAUGGUGUAGAUAAAAUCCUCUUUAUCUUGUGUGCUUCGAGGAACUCUGUCACCUUGUUGUCAAUGAAUUGUUUUCCAUUGUCACAUACAAUCUUGGCAGGUAUCCCGAACCGACAUAUGAUGUGGUCCUAGAUAAAGUCAAUAACUUCCUUUUCUCUAACCUUCUCGAAGGCAUGUACUUCUACCCAUUUAGAAAAGUAAUCAGUCAUAAACAAAAUAAAUUUAGCUUUACCUGAGGCCAUUAGUAGGGGCCGACUAUAUCCAUCCCUCAUUUUAUGAAAGGCCACGGGGAUAGGACCGAGUGGACCUGUUCUCUGGGCUGAUGAAUCAUCGGUGCCAACCGUUGGCAUUUAUCGUAUUUUUUUACAAACUCCUUAGUAUCUUUUUCCAUGUUGUCCCAGUAAUACCUUGCUUUGAUAUUUUUGUGAAUCAAAGAAUCGGCGCCGGAUUGGUUUCCACAAGUACCUUCAUGGAUUUCUCAUAAAACAUAAUCGGUAUCCCUCGACCCUAAACAUACUGCCAAUGACCCAUCAAACGUUCUUCUGUAUAAUGUUCUAUCCCUAUCUAGUGUGAACCUAGAAGCCUUGGUUCGCAGAGCCCUCGAUUCUUUGUGAUCCGAUGAGAGCUUUCCAUUUAUCAAAUAAUCGAUAUACUUAUUUCUCCAAUCUCAAGUCAAGCUCGUGGAAUUUAUUUCGGCAUGACCUUCCUAGACCAUGGAUCUUGAUAACUGAACGAUAGUCCCUGGGACAAUGUCGUCUUCUUCGACCGAUGAUCCCAGAUUUGCAAGCACGUCAGCCUCACUAUUUUACUCUCGAGGCAAAUGAUCCACGGUCCAUUCCUUGAAGCGGUGAAACAUCACCUGUAGUUUGUCUAAGUAUCUCUACAUUUUAUCUUCUCCAACCUCGAAACACUUAUUUACUUGGUUCACCACCAAUAGGGAGUCGCAUUUGGUCUCGAUGACCUCUUCCCCCAAGCUCUUAGCUAGCUUGAGACCUGCAAUCAAGGCCUCGUACUCGGUCUCAUUUUUAGUCUUGAAGUUUUGAUAGAUUGUCUAAUAGUACUACCUGUUGGUGGCUUCAAAACAAUGCCAAGUCCGGACCCUUUGAUAUUUGAGGCAUCGUCCGUGAAAAGGGUCCAUACCCGCGAUGAUGUACCUGAUCCCAACAGAAGUUCAUUUUCUACUUUGGGUAUGAGGGUCGACGUAAAAUCGGCCAUGAAGUCAGCCAAGAUUUGGGACUUGAUGGCCGUUCGGGGGUUAAUAUUCGAUAUCGUACCCGCUUAGUUUGACUGUCUAUUUGGCCAAUCGACCCAAUAAUUCGGGCUUAUGCAAGAUAUUUUGGAGAGGAUAAGUGGUUAAUACACAUAUGGGAUGACAUUGAAAAUACGGCUUCAACUUUCUAAAUGCGCUGAUUAAUGCAAGUGCUAAUAUUUCUAAGUGAAGGUAUCUAGUUUCAGCAUCUCCCAGAGUUCGACUUACAUAAUAAAAAGGGAAUUGCAUACCUUGCUCUUCUCGAACUAGUACGCCACUUACUGUUAUCUUAGACACUGCCAAAUAUAAGUAAAGCUUUUCAUCUAUUUUCGAGGCAUGAAUCAAAGGCGGGCUCGAUAGGUAUCGCUUCAAUUCUUCUUAAGCUUGCUGGCAUUUCGGGGCCCAUGUGAAAUCCUUUUUCUUUUUGAGCAAGGAAAAGAACCUAUGACUUUGAUCUGAUGACCUUUGCACGACCUUCACGCUAUCCAUAACUGUGAUAUUCUUAAUGGCCUUGAUUUUGUCGGGGUUAAUUUCGAUGCCCCGAUUCGACACCAUAAAGCUGAGGAACUUACCCGAGCAGACUCAAAAGGCACAGUUUUUCGAGUUAAGCUUCAUGUUGUACUUUCUCAAGAUUUUGAAUGUUUCCUGCAAAUGAGUUAAAUGGUCCUCUACACGCAGGGACUUAACCAACAUAUCAUUAAUGUAAACUUCCAUUGAUUUACCUAUCUGUUCCUCGAAGAUUUUGUUGACUAGGCGUUAGUAUGUAGCUCCUGCAUUUUUAAGCCCGAAGGGCAUUACAUUGUAACAAUGAGUUCCAAACUUAGUGAUAAACAAGGUCUUUUCCUGAUCUUUCGGGUUCAUCUGAAUUUGAUUAUACCCAGAGUAGGUGUCGAGAAAAUUUAGAAUCUCGUGGCCAGCCGUAACAUCGAUCAUAAGAUCGAUGAUAGGCAGUGGAAAAAAGUCUUUAGGGCAUGCUUUGUUCAAAUCCUUAUAAUCUAUGCACAUUCUAAGCUUGUUUCCUUUUUUAGGAACUACAACUACGUUGGCUAACCAUUCGGGGUAUUUUAUCUCCCGAAUAGACUCUAUUUUAAGAAGUUUGGUUACCUCGUCCUGUAUGAAUAUGUGCUUUACAUCAGACUGGGGCCUUCUUUUUUGCUUGACUGGUUUGAACCUUGGGUCGAGGCUUAGCCGAUGUGUUGUUAUUUCUGGUGGAAUUCCUGUCAUAUCUAAAUGGGACCAAGCAAAGCAAUCUAUAUUAUCAAUAAGAAAUUGAAUAAGUUUUUCCCUAAGUUUAGGGGUUAAUCCCGUUCCUCCGUAUACCUUUCUCUCGGGCAUGUAUUCAAUCAGUAUGACCUGCUCCAGUUCCUCGAUCGUUGACUUGGUUGCAUCAGACUCUUCGGGAACGACGAAAGUUCGUAGAGUAAGGAAAUCCUCUUCUUCGUCUUCGAUUAUCUAUUGCUCCAAUCCUAUCGAGGCUGUAGGCGGUGAUUACUAUUUAGUCGCUUGCUUACCUUUGGUGUUCAACCUUUCUGAGGUCGAAGACUCUAGUACCAGCGUCACUUCAUCGACUGCAAACAUCUCCUUUGCAGCGUGUUGCUCUCCGUAAACAAUUCUUACUCUAUCCUCUAUUGGGAACUUCAUCAUCUGAUGAAGAGUUGAAGGUACUGCCCUCAUGUUGUGUAUCCACGGUCUCCCGAGGAGUGCAUUGUACCUCAUGUCGCCUUCGAUGACAUGGAAUAUUGUAUCCUGUAUGGUUCUGGCUACAUUCACUGGUAAGAUUAUCUUCCUCUUUUGUUGUUUUGCUUGUCAUAUUGAAGCCAUUUAGGACCUGAGAUGCAGGUAUAAUCUAAUCUUGUAGGCCGAGCUGCUCUACGACCCUCGAUCUGAUUAUGUUUGCUGAGCUACCUGGAUCCACUAGAACACGUUUAACUUGAAUUUUAUUUAAAAGAAUAGAAAUUACAUGGGCAUCGUUAUGUGGCUGAGAUAUGCCUUCUGCUUCUUCGUCAUAGAAUAUAAGGCAUCCUUGGGCACAUAGCUCCGAGUCUGUUUUUCUCUAGUGAUAGACACUUUGGUGCAUUUGAAUACAGGUCCUUGUGGGACAUCAAAACCGCCAAUGAUCAUGUGGAUCACAUGUUGUGGUUCUUCCUACUCGUUUUUUCUGCUUGCAUCUCUCUCGCUGAAGUGAUUCUUAGCUCGAUCACUGAGAAAUUCUCAAAGGUGACCCUCGUUGAACAACCGAGCUACCUCCUCCCUUAGUUUCCUGCAGUCUCCAGUUCUAUGGCCAUGUGUGCCAUGAUACUUACACAUUAAGUUUGGAUUCCUUUGAGAGGGAUGAGUUUGUAUAGGCAUGGGCUACUUGGUAUCCUUGAUCCUUCCAAUAGCUGACACAAUCCCUGAUGCAUCCACACUGAAAUUAUAUUCUGACAAUCGAGGUGCCUCUACGGGAUCAGUAUGUUUAUUGAACCUAUUCUUACUCAUGAGUCCCCGAGAACUUUGACCUCGAUCGUUUCUCCGAUCAUUCCAAGGAGUGUUACGACCCGAGCUUUUGCUUCUCCGAUCGACAUAUGGCUGAUACCGUUCUUUGUUGAAUCUUGAUUCCCUGUCUGUAUCCCUCGGGGGCUUAGACGCCAGCCUGUUAGGAUGAACGGAGCCCGAAGGGGCUCCCAACUGGUCGUCCUCGACCCUAAUCUUGGACUGGUAACGAUUAUGCACAUCUGACCAUGUCAAAGCUGGAUACUCAAUCAAGUUUUGCUUUAAUUUUCGAGAUGCUAUUGAACUCCAUUCGUUCAACCCCUACAUAAAGUCCUGUACUGCCCAGUCAUCGGAGACCGGUGAUAGCUCCAUUCUUUCCAUCUGAACCUGGACACGAACUCCCUCAACAUCUCGUCGUUUCAUUGUUUUAUCUUGAAGACGUCCGAUUUUCUCGUUGCCACAUUUAUGGGCCUGGUGUGUGCUUUCACGAAAGCGUCUGGUAACAUAGAAAAUGAAUCAAUAGAGUUAGGAGGCAAGUUGUGAUACCAAAUCAUGGAUCCUUUCGACAAUGUUUCCCCAAACUUUUUCAACAAUACUGAUUCGUUCUCGUAGUCAUUCUAGUCAUUUCCUUUGAUCCCGCAAGUGUAUGAAGUAAUAUGCUCGUUAGGGUCAGUUGUCCCAUUAUACUUUGGUAUAUCAGGCAUGCAGAAUUGUUUGGGGAUGGACAUUGGAGCUGCGCUCGGAGGGAAUAGUUUUUGUAUGAACUUUUUGGCAUCUAAACCUUUUAAGACCGGAGGUGCCCCCAGUAUUUGAUCAACACGGGAAUUAUAAGUCUCCAUAUUUUUGUCAUUGUCUUCAAUUUUCUUUUCCCCGGACUCAAUCUUCUUGGCGAGCUCUUCGAGCAUUCUUAUAAUGGUGGGGUCAGUCCUCGAGUCAUUUCUGUUCGGCCGCUCUUGCGCUGGUUCAACACGCCGUAUGUUUUCUGGUUAAGCUAUACUCAGAGUCUUAUUCUGACUUUGAAGUUGAGUGAUGGUGAUCUGUUGAGCUUGCGGUAUCUCGAAUAUCACUUGGAGGCUAAUUCCCCCAUAUCCCAUUCCUUGUGCUCCUUGGCCACCAGACCAGGCUUCCCUACGCACACUCUCUCCGGGGUCCGUGCCUAAAUCCGUGUUUAGAGCAAUGUGUGAACAAACAUCAACUGGUUCCUGUCACACCCCUUUUUUAACCACCUCACUAACCCUCUUAAAUAAAUAAAAAAAUUGUAAAGGUCAAAAGAGUUUUUAAUUAAAAAAUGACAAAAUUAUGUUCAAAAGGAAAUAACUCAAAGUUGCCACAUGACAUUGGUUUUGGUGUGUCAGGUCACUAUGAUUUUUUCCUUUUUAAACACUUUGGACUCCAAAACUAAGUCUACACCAGAGAUUCGGGUAUCAUUUGACUAGGGGAGAAGGUGUUAGGCACACCCCAAGUCCCGUGAAAGUCACGGUUGCGUACUCAAUCUAGUUGGCUUUUAGAAUAUUCGAAUUAAAGUAAAAACAAACACAGAAAAGAAAAAUAAACACACAAGAGGCUCGAGGUCGUCCCCACCUAAUAAAAUAAAAUAGAAAAGAAAAUCAAAGUAAAGUCCUAAAUGCUAAUAUAUUCUAUAUUUCUUCCAUGAAGUUCGUCACGGCCUCCAAAUACAUGAUACUAUGGGGCAUUCCCGGGAACAAAAUAUAUACAAAUCCUUCGGGGCAUUCUCCAGAUAAAUUUCACUAAAGGAAUGACUUCUCGCCUAAACACUGGAAAAAAUUCUAUGGCUUGCCUACCUGAGAUGAGGACGGCCUAAGCAUGCUAAUAACGAUGCGAUUAGUGAGACAGGAAUAAAGUAGCAACAUAAAUUGUCUUGAGCCAAAAUCAUCCUCAAUUCUUUCUAACAAAACUUUAUUAACUUCAUGCCAGCAAAUAUUCUUUCGUUAAUUUGUUUAAUUCAAAACCGUGGCCCCAAUUCUUCUGACAAUUACUACAACUACAAAACAUCUAAGACAAAUAAACCAUAUAAAAAAACAGAGAAGCCUAAAAUUCGUAACUAACAUGGAUCAAAACUAGAAAAAGCAUUUGAGAUCUCCAUGGCUCGUUUAUUCCAAAAUUCUUAGUGCACUAUUUUUCUUUUAAAAACAAAGCUUAGUAAUAGACUAAUGAUUCAACAAUCACAAGAUUCCGUAGUCCUUAAACUAACGAUAAUUGAAAACAGUAUGAAUACCAUCCAAACAAAUUGACACGUAAUCUCAAAGAAUAUGCAAAAGAUUUUUUCAUUCCAUCAAAACUAAUUGCAAGGAUAUGUUGAAUAUUUGAAGAGAGACAAAGUUAGAAAUGGACCAUUCAAGGUGCUUCCAACACAAAGUUAUAUUAAAAGAAUGGAUUCUGUAGGAAAUUAACAACGGACCAAAAUCCACGAACGGACCACCUCUUGACCAGAAAUCGAACUCGACUCAGAUUCAGAGAGCCGGAGAUUUGAAAUCGCUAAACUCUUGAUCCGAAAUGGUAUUAUAAAUGGGUUUUGUGACUGAUUUUAGUGCUGGAAACGUAAGAUAUUUCAAUGGUAAAAAUGAGGAUUAGCUCUGGUAUUUCCAUGGUAGUGUAGCUGGAGAGAUAGAUUUUUGGGAUGACGAGACUGCGGCGCUAGGUUUUUCUCAUUGCUAAUCUCCCCACUUUAUUAGAAUGUGUAUGAUUGGAAAUAUGGGAGCAUGUGACAAUGAUGAGGUGUCAAGGUGAUAUUAGUUGAUGAAAAGAAAGAACAAGGAAUAUCUGUACAUGUGGAAUAUCUAGAAGAAAAUAUUAUGAGUGCAAAUAUAAGAAAAUGAAGUAGAAGUCAAUGUUAUAAUAAUAUUUUAAAGAAGGAGACAAAGAUAGAAUAAGG